AUAGCCUCUCGCCGUCAAGGUGCACGGGAAGCCGGUGAAACACCGGCGCGGCCCUCGCCACUGUGACCGGGUAGCGAUCUCCGACUACGCCACUGGGCCCGACCGGGUCUGGGAAGGCCGGAGUGAACGUCGAUCCGGAAGCCAGGAGACCGGCCUUGACAAGGAUCUCAUCC
rnacentral:ncRNA from 18 species